rnacentral:rRNA from 1 species
AUUGAACGCUGGCGGCAUGCCUUACACAUGCAAGUCGAACGGCAGCGCGGGAGCAAUCCUGGCGGCGAGUGGCGAACGGGUGAGUAAUAUAUCGGAACGUGCCCAGUAGUGGGGGAUAGCCCGGCGAAAGCCGGAUUAAUACCGCAUGAGACCUGAGGGUGAAAGCGGGGGAUCGCAAGACCUCGCGCUAUUGGAGCGGCCGAUAUCAGAUUAGCUAGUUGGUGGGGUAAAGGCCUACCAAGGCAACGAUCUGUAGUUGGUCUGAGAGGACGACCAGCCACACUGGGACUGAGACACGGCCCAGACUCCUACGGGAGGCAGCAGUGGGGAAUUUUGGACAAUGGGUGCAAGCCUGAUCCAGCAAUGCCGCGUGCAGGAAGAAGGCCU